rnacentral:ncRNA from 21 species
AUUGCUUAGGUCUGUGGUUGAAAGUCGAGGCCAGUCGCAGGCGAAACGAUCCACAUAAGGAGUCCAAAGCGGCUCUGAGCAUGGUGCGGUUUAGGGGUAAGUCCUGCCGAGUUAUUAGCUACGUCAGCUAGAUUCGAGAGUGGCAGUAGUGAGGAGAUUGAUUUCUUAUUAGCGAACCUUCCAGCAGGCGGGUGUGGGGGCAAAGACCAGGUCAGCUAAGCAGU